rnacentral:rRNA from 1 species
AUUGAACGCUGGCGGCAUGCUUUACACAUGCAAGUCGAACGGGGUGGAGGGGCAACCUUCCAUUCAGUGGCGAACGGGUGAGUAAUGCAUCGGAACGUGUCCCGUAGUGGGGGAUAACGCCGGGGAACCGGCGCUAAUACCGCAUAUGCUCUACGGAGGAAAGUGGGGGACCUGAAAGGGCCUCACGCCAUGGGAGCGGCCGAUGUCCGAUUAGCUAGUUGGCGGGGUAAAGGCCCACCAAGGCGACGAUCGGUAGCUGGUCUGAGAGGAUGAUCAGCCACACUGGGACUGAGACACGGCCCAGACUCCUACGGGAGGCAGCAGUGGGGAAUUUUGGACAAUGGGGGCAACCCUGAUCCAGCCAUGCCGCGUGCGGGAAGAAGGCCUUCGGGUUGUAAACCGCUUUUAGCCGGAAAGAAAAGGCGGAGGCUAAUACCCUCCGUUCUUGACGGUACCGGCGGAAUAAGCACCGGCUAACUACGUGCCAGCCGCCGCGGUAA